UGAGAAUCUCAAAAAAGUUGAGAGGGUUAGUGCUAAAUAAUAUUUACUCCUUCGAUGCUAUACUUCAGCCAUAUGCCAACACCCUCACUCCAGCCUGAGUUUUAAGGAUGGAUAGAGCUGCUUUGUGGUCUGAACUGUUCAUCUCGUACAACAGACAGAACAUCAACCUAUAAUUGCUGACUGGCGAGCCGGAGUGCAGCAGGACAGGCAGAGGACAAGGGAUAAGGACAUGCUGAAGCACAUCAACCAGCAGAAUACCUGACUGGUCUUGUUUUGCUCUCCUCUUCUGUACACAGACACACUCUGAUUGAGAGAAACACCACCGACCAUUGGGGUAACGGUAUCGUAUUUGGCUAUACUGACAACUACAGAAAGGAGAUGCUGGGCAACGUUCUAGAAUGACAAGGUAUCUUUUUAGUGGGGACUGAAUUUGCCAUCUUACUAGCAAAGAAAGCAGGGGGAACACUGCCAUGGCCUGGUGCUACCAAAUAUUCAUUGGCCAUCUGAAUUUUCAGGCUAGUAUUUCAACUAUCU
rnacentral:lncRNA from 1 species